AUGGAGCAGUGGGCGUACUACCUCUGCCUUCUCUUAGCUCUCCUCCUUCCUCUCCUUCUCUUCAAGCUCAACAGGAAGCAUAGCAGCGGCAAUGGCGGCGUGCGUCUGCCACCCGGUCCGUGGCGGCUACCGGUCAUCGGCAGCCUUCAUCACCUCGCCGGCAACCCGCUCAUGCACCGUGUCAUGGCCGACCUCGCACACCGGCUAAACGCGCCUCUCAUGUACCUCAAGCUCGGCGAGGUGCCGGUGAUGGUGGCCACGUCCCCGGAGGCCGCCUGCGAGAUCAUGCGAACGCAUGAUGUUGUCUUCGCUACGCGGCCAUGGAGCCCCACCAUGAAGAUCAUGAACUCGGAAGGGCUAGUAUUUGCGCCCUACGGCACCUUGUGGCGGCAGCUCCGCAAGAUCUGCAUCCUGGAGCUUCUCAGCGCUCGCCGCGUGCAGUCAUUCCGCCACAUCCGGGAGGACGAGAUUUACCGACUCGUGGCAGCUGUCGCAGCGGUGCUACCCAUGGAGCCCGUGAACGUCAGCGAGCGGAUUGCCGUGCUCAUCACCGAUUCGGCAGUACGGGCCAUGAUAGGGGAAAGGUUCAAGAGGCGUGAGGAGUUCUUGCAGACACUCGAGGAUGGUGUCAAGAUUGCCAGCGGGUUCAGCCUCGGCGAUCUAUUCCCGUCGUCGUGGCUCGCGAGCUUCAUCAGCGGCACGACACGGCGGGCCAAGGAGUACCACCACAAGAGCUUCGAGCUCAUGGAGUAUGCGAUCAAGCAACACGAGGAGCAGAGAGCCACCGCUGCUUCAGAGAAUGAUGCCGUGGAGGAAGGAGAGGACCUAGUGGACGCGCUCUUGAGGAUACGCAAGGAAGGUGGCCUGGACGUGCCUCUUACCAUGGGAAUGAUCAAAGCAAUUAUACUUGAUCUGUUUGGUGCCGGAAGUGAGACAUCAGCAACCACUCUCCAAUGGGCCAUGUCAGAGCUCAUGAGGCACCCAAAUGUGAUGCAGAAGGCACAAGACGAAGUACGCAACAAUCUCCAAGGAAAGCCUAAGGUGACCGAGGAUGACUUGAUCAAUCUCAAGUACCUUAGACUCGUCAUCAAGGAGACAAUGAGGCUUCAUCCAGCUGCACCAUUGCUUCUCCCUAGGGAGGCAAGGGAGCCUUGCAAAAUCCUUGGGUAUGACGUCCCCAAGGGCACCACGGUGUUGGUGAACGCAUGGGCAAUCGGAAGAGACCCUAAGCACUGGGAAGACGCUGAAGAGUUCAAACCAGAGAGGUUUGAAUCUGGCAUGGUUGAUUUCAAAGGAACAGACUUUGAGUACAUACCGUUUGGGGCAGGUCGAAGGAUGUGCCCUGGAAUGAUGUUCGCGCAAGCUAGCAUCGAGAUUGUGUUGGCCGCACUUCUCUACCACUUCGACUGGGAACUCCCAGGAGGGAUGAAACCAGAUGGGUUGGACAUGACAGAGGAGAUGGGCCUCACUGUCCGACGGAAGAACAACUUGUACCUGCACGCUGUGGUUCGUGUACCCCUGGUUUAA
rnacentral:rRNA from 1 species